AGCGAACGCUGGCGGCAGGCCUAACACAUGCAAGUCGAGCGCCCCGCGAGGGGAGCGGCAGACGGGAGAGUAACACGUGGGAACGUACCCUUUGGUUCGGAACAACCCAGGGAAACUUGGGCUAAUACCGAAUAAGCCCUUACGGGGAAAGAUUUAUCGCCGAAGGAUCGGCCCACGUCUGAUUAGCUAGUUGGUGAGGUGACGGCUCACCAAGGCGACGAUCAGUAGCUGGUCUGAGAGGAUGAUCAGCCUCACUGGGACUGAGACACGGCCCAGACUCCUACGGGAGGCAGCAGUGGGGAAUAUUGGACAAUGGGCGCAAGCCUGAUCCAGCCAUGCCGCGUGGGUGAUGAAGGCCCUAGGGUUGUAAAGCCCUUUCGGCGGGGAAGAUAAUGACGGUACCCGCAGAAGAAGCCCCGGCUAACUUCGUGCCAGCCGCCGCAGUAC
rnacentral:rRNA from 1 species